AUACGGAGGGUCCAAGCGUUAUCCGGAAUCAUUGGGUUUAAAGGGUUCGUAGGCGGGUCAAUAAGUCAGAGGCGAAAUCUUGCAGCUUAACUGUAAAAUUGCCUUUGAAACUGUUGACCUUGAAUUACUGUGAAGUGGUUAGAAUAUGUAGUGUAGCGGUGAAAUGCUUAGAGAUUACAUAGAAUACCGAUUGCGAAGGCAGAUCACUAACAGUAUAUUGACGCUGAUGAACGAAAGCGUGGGUAGCGAACGGGAUUAGAUACCCCAGUAGUCC
rnacentral:rRNA from 1 species